rnacentral:rRNA from 1 species
AAGGAAUAUUGGUCAAUGGAGGGAACUCUGAACCAGCCAUGCCGCGUGCAGGAAGACAGCCCUCUGGGUCGUAAACUGCUUUUAUUCGGGAAUAAACCUUAUUACGUGUAAUAAGCUGAAUGUACCGAAGGAAUAAGGAUCGGCUAACUCCGUGCCAGCAGCCGCGGUAAUACGGAGGAUCCAAGCGUUAUCCGGAUUUAUUGGGUUUAAAGGGUGCGUAGGCGGCUUAUUAAGUCAGGGGUGAAAGCCGGUGGCUCAACCAUCGCAGUGCCCUUGAUACUGAUGAGCUUGAAUACACUAGAGGUAGGCGGAAUGUGACAAGUAGCGGUGAAAUGCAUAGAUAUGUCACAGAACACCGAUUGCGAAGGCAGCUUACUAUGGUGUGACUGACGCUGAGGCACGAAAGCGUGGGGAUCAAAC